rnacentral:rRNA from 1 species
AUUGAACGCUGGCGGAAUGCUUUACACAUGCAAGUCGAACGGCAGCACGGACUUCGGUCUGGUGGCGAGUGGCGAACGGGUGAGUAAUACAUCGGAACGUGCCCAGUCGUGGGGGAUAACGUAGCGAAAGCUACGCUAAUACCGCAUACGAUCUACGGAUGAAAGCGGGGGAUCGCAAGACCUCGCGCGAUUGGAGCGGCCGAUGGCAGAUUAGGUAGUUGGUGGGGUAAAGGCUCACCAAGCCGACGAUCUGUAGCUGGUCUGAGAGGACGACCAGCCACACUGGGACUGAGACACGGCCAAGACUCCUACGGGAGGCAGCAGUGGGGAAUUUUGGACAAUGGGCGCAAGCCUGAUCCAGCCAUUCCGCGUGCAGGAUGAAGGCCCUCGGGUUGUAAACUGCUUUUGUACAGAACGAAAAGGCUCUGGUUAAUACCUGGGGCUCAUGACGGUACUGUAAGAAUAAGCACCGGCUAACUACGUGCCAGCAGCCGCAGUAA